GAAAAGGUGAAAAAAGGUGAAAUUGAAUACCAUUUUUCAAUAAUCAACCCAGCAUAAUACUUUGAGUUUAUAUAAAUAGGAAGUAUAAAGUGUAUAAAGGUGCAUAUUCUAAUAUCAAUCAAAAGGGUCACAUCCUACCCAGACCAAAUCUGAUAUUAGAUCAACUUGCCCAUAAAUAUAGACCUUUCAAUACUUCAUUCAGUCUAUAGGAAAUAUUGUACAUAUUCUCCAAUACUAAUAUUUCAAAUAUUAUCUUAAAUAAAAUUAAGGUAUAUCAUACAUUCAAUAAAAUGGCUAUGCCUAAUCACUUUAAAAAGCAUAAAGACUAUAAUAGCCUUACUGCUUACUUUACAUACACAAAUAAACCAUGCCUUGCACCCUGGAUUGUUAAGAACAAUUUAUUUACUAUGUCCAAAGAAUGCACGAAUGCAAUCUGCCUUCAAAAAAAUUAUUUUUCUGUAUGAUGCUAAAGAAUUAUAAAGCUAUUCAAGAUGAUAUUCCUAUUCUCACCCAAGAAGCUGUUGUCAGUGAAAACAAUUAUGCAUUAAUUCCAUUUAUUCAAGAUGAUAUUUCUAUUCACACCCAAGAAGCUGUUGUCAGUAAAAAUAAUUAUGCAUCAAUUCCAU